CACGCACACUCUUGGCCACCCAGGGAAGGACCACCUACCGAAUCUCAUCAUAAGAAUCUGACCCUUACCUCUGCAGCUUAAGAGCUGGAUAGGGCCAAGGCCUUCCACUCCGGGAUGCUUCUGAGACAUACCUAAUAUCGUCCCCUUUCAUGCCUUACUCUGAGACCAAUACAGGAUGAGGCUACAAUGGUGGACCUGAACUAAACUUUGCCUCUUCGCGGUGGAGUCUGCCGCUGGACUGAA